rnacentral:rRNA from 1 species
UACGUAGGUGGCAAGCGUUGUCCGGAUUUAUUGGGCGUAAAGCGCGCGCAGGCGGUUUCUUAAGUCUGAUGUGAAAGCCCUCGGCUUAACCGAGGAGGGGCAUUGGAAACUGGGAGACUUGAGUGCAGAAGAGGAAAGUGGAAUUCCAAGUGUAGCGGUGAAAUGCGUAGAGAUUUGGAGGAACACCAGUGGCGAAGGCGACUUUCUGGUCUGUAACUGACGCUGAGGCGCGAAAGCGUGGGGAGCAAACAGG